rnacentral:rRNA from 1 species
GCAACGCCGCGUGGAGGAUGACACUUUUCGGAGCGUAAACUCCUUUUCUUAGGGAAGAAUUCUGACGGUACCUAAGGAAUAAGCACCGGCUAACUCCGUGCCAGCAGCCGCGGUAAUACGGAGGGUGCAAGCGUUACUCGGAAUCACUGGGCGUAAAGGGCGCGUAGGCGGAUUAUCAAGUCUCUUGUGAAAUCUAAUGGCUUAACCAUUAAACUGCUUGGGAAACUGAUAGUCUAGAGUGAGGGAGAGGCAGAUGGAAUUGGUGGUGUAGGGGUAAAAUCCGUAGAUAUCACCAAGAAUACCCAUUGCGAAGGCGAUCUGCUGGAACUCAACUGACGCUAAGGCGCGAAAGCGUGGGGAGCAAACAGGAUUAGAUACCCUGGUAGUCCACGCCCUAAACGAUGUACACUAGUUGUUGGGGUGCUAGUCAUCUCAGUAAUGCAGCUAACGCAUUAAGUGUACCGCCUGGGGAGUACGGUCGCAAGAUUAAAACUCAAAGGAAUAGACGGGGACCCGCACAAGCGGUGGAGCAUGUGGUUUAAUUCGAAGAUACGCGAAGAACCUUACCUGGGCUUGAUAUCCUAAGAACCUUUUAGAGAUAAGAGGGUGCUAGCUUGCUAGAACUUAGAGACAGGUGCUGCACGGCUGUCGUCAGCUCGUGUCGUGAGAUGUUGGGUUAAGUCCCGCAACGAGCGCAACCCACGUAUUUAGUUGCUAACGGUUCGGCCGAGCACUCUAAAUAGACUGCCUUCGUAAGGAGGAGGAAGGUGUGGACGACGUCAAGUCAUCAUGGCCCUUAUGCCCAGGGCGACACACGUGCUACAAUGGCAUAUACAAUGAGACGCAAUACCGCGAGGUGGAGCAAAUCUAUAAAAUAUGUCCCAGUUCGGAUUGUUCUCUGCAACUCGAGAGCAUGAAGCCGGAAUCGCUAGUAAUCGUAGAUCAGCCAUGCUACGGUGAAUACGUUCCCGGGUCUUGUACUCACCGCCCGUCACACCAUGGGAGUUGAUUUCACUCGAAGCCGGAAUACUAAACUAGUUACCGUCCACAGUGGAAUCAGCGACUGGGGUGAAGUCGUAACAAGGUAACCGUAGGAGAACCUGCGGUUGGAUCACCUCCUUUCUA